CCAUUGUUAAACUUCUAUUUAUUUUCAAUAUUUAUGCAAUUUGAGCUUUCCAUAAUUAUUACUUUGCUUUUAGAAUCAAUAAGAGCCCAUUGCUUUUAAAUUGCUCAAGUAAUAUUGUUUGAAUGAUUUAGGUCUGUAAUUGCUUAGGUUGUUCAAAUACACAUUUAAUCAAAUUGCAUAAUCUAAACUUGACCACGCAGUUGGCAAGGAUAGAAUUGGGUUUCUCUAAGUCUUAAUGCAGUCAACAGUUGUUCGAUGCUACAAUGCCCCAAGGACGUUCCUUGGCAACUUGUUGAUUAGUGUUUGAUUAGCAAACGUUUCCUAAUCAAACUAGAACUAAGGAGGAAUUUGGUUGUGAGAAGC
rnacentral:lncRNA from 1 species